UGGAGUAUAUAUCUCCAUCCCCGCGAGCGCUCCUCAGUCAUUCCCGCCAGCCGUGACCUCAGAGUGAUAUCGUGCCGUGAUCUACGUGUCCAGGAAUUCUUUGAAGCUACACCAUGAAACUGUUUGUCUGCAUGAUACUGGUGACGAUGGUUGUCAUGGCAACGCUGAUCGACGACUCCGAGGGAUGGAGGCGUCGGCGCAGGCGCAGAAGGGGUCGUCUGGAUGUGGAUGCAGAUGCUGACUCAGAGUUGAGAGAGGUUGUGGAAGAGGCGAGGUCGCUCCUGGAGGAACUUGAUGAGGACAGUGAACACUUGGAUACACAAGGACUAAAGAAGGAGGAAGUGGAGAACAUACUCGCGGAUCAGGAAGAAAGUCGAAAGAGAAGGACUCUCGAGCAAGGAAUUUAGUAAAGAUGAAAGUGGCAUGGUUUAGAACAGAAGGACGAUUGGUCGUUAAGUUUAUUUUUCUUCGAUAGAAUAUAUUUUGUCUCGUGUUAUUCCUUUCGCACAACAUGCAAUGUUAUUCCCCCAAAGAAGAUGUCAAUUUGAGGUGGUAAGAAUUGUGUUUACAAAUGGAUUCAAUCUGUUGACUCAAAAAUCAGCCACGUGUUAGCCAAUAUGUAUCAAUGCUAAUAAUUAUACUAUGCACAAUGUUCAUAAUGUACGACGUAUUCGGCUCUUGAUUCUUGCUGAUUGAAUAAAGUUUAUUGAAAGCAAACUGAA